rnacentral:rRNA from 1 species
ACAGAGGGUGCAAGCGUUAAUCGGAGUUACUGGGCGUAAAGGGCGCGUAGGCUGAUGUUUAAGUUAAUUGUGAAAUCCCUGGGCUUAACCUAGGAAUUGCAGUUAAUACUGGACAUCUAGAGUAUGGUAGAGGAAAGUGGAAUUCUCGGUGUAGUGGUUAAAUACGUAGAUAUCGAGAAGAACACCGGUGGCGAAGGCGACUUUCUGGACCAAUACUGACGCUGAGGCGCGAAAGCGUGGGGAGCAAACAG